rnacentral:rRNA from 1 species
AGCGAACGCUGGCGGCGUGCCUAACACAUGCAAGUCGAACGUGAAAAGGGAAACCUGAGUAAAGUGGCGUACGGGUGAGUCACGCGUAGGUAAUCUACCCCAGAAUCUGGAAUCACCUGCCGAAAGGCGGGCUAAUACUGGAUAGAGCGAGGGAACUCGUAAGAGAGUUUUUCGGGAAAGGGAGCCCGCAAGGGCCUUCGUUCUGGGAUGAGCCUGCGUCUCAUUAGCUAGUUGGUAAGGUAACGGCUUACCAAGGCGAUGAUGAGUAGCUGGUCUGAGAGGAUGGUCAGCCACACUGGAACUGAAACACGGUCCAGAAUCCUACGGGAGGCAGCAGUGGGGAAUCUUGCGCAAUAGACGAAAGUCUGACGCAGCCACGCCGAGUGAGUGAAGAAGGCCUUCGGGUUGUAAAGCUCUGUCGGAUGGGACGAACAUCUUCAUAGUGAAUAGCUAUGAGGACUGACGGUACCAUCAAAGGAAGCACCGGCUAACUCCGUG